rnacentral:sRNA from 1 species
AUGCGGACCCUCAGUCCUCAGGCAGGGAGAAAGAACCUCUGAAGUAAGCCCUCACCUCUGCAGGUGGGGCUCAGGCCCAGAGACUGGGAUCAGCUGGCUCAGGCAGCUCAGGUCCUGGUUCGUCCCCUAGCCCAGGAGGACGCUGUGGGAGCUGGAGCAGCGGCAAGAGGGAGAACGGGGGGAAGCAGCACUAGAGAAGUUCCCACAGCUCAUCCUGUCACUGGCUGCUCUGCUGAAAUUAUCAAUAAGAAAUGCCAGUUGGAUCUGUGACAUGUCUGCCUGCAGCUGGAUGGGAGCAACGGACAGCUUGUCCUCCGAAUGUGUUUUCUCCAGCCCCCCUCCCAGCCCAGCGGCGAUGUCUCUGCCUGGCUGGCCCGUGCCCUUGACUUCCAGGCAGUAGGAGAUGGAGUUCUCUAGACAGCAGCAGUUCAGCCGCCACUCCGCCUCUGAAGGGAAGGAAGGGAAAGGGGUGCUGGCUACUGUGAAAUAACAAGAGUCCAAGAGCAAGGUGUCCAGAGUCAGAGCUCCUGGGUUUGAACCUUGUUCCACCAGCACAUCCUACCUCUGUGGCCUGGUCCUUCAGCUCCUACUUAAUGGAAGCCUCGCAGAUGCAAGAUGGCUCCAGCAGGCCCAGCAUCACUUCUUCUCAGUGUCCCAAAGCCAGAAGAGAGGCUGUUGUUUUUAAAAGCAGGAAAACUUUCCUAAACUUGGCCAGAAUUGCAUCACAGACCCUUUCCUAAAACAAUUUCCAGCAAAGGGAAUAGACUUACCAUGUCUGGUACAGAUGAAUCAAGAUUUGCCCCU